rnacentral:rRNA from 1 species
GAUGAACGCUGGCGGCGUGCCUAAUACAUGCAAGUCGAGCGAACAGACGAGGAGCUUGCUCCUCUGACGUUAGCGGCGGACGGGUGAGUAACACGUGGAUAACCUACCUAUAAGACUGGGAUAACUUCGGGAAACCGGAGCUAAUACCGGAUAAUAUAUUGAACCGCAUGGUUCAAUAGUGAAAGACGGUUUUGCUGUCACUAAUAGAUGGAUCCGCGCCGGAUUAGCUAGUUGGUAAGGUAACGGCUUACCAAGGCAACGAUGCGUAGCCGACCUGAGAGGGUGAUCGGCCACACUGGAACUGAGACACGGUCCAGACUCCUACGGGAGGCAGCAGUAGGGAAUCUUCCGCAAUGGGCGAAAGCCUGACGGAGCAACGCCGCGUGAGUGAUGAAGGUCUUCGGAUCGUAAAACUCUGUUAUUAGGGAAGAACAAAUGUGUAAGUAACUAUGCACGUCUUGACGGUACCUAAUCAGAAAGCCACGGCUAACUACGUG